UCUCUUCUCACAGAGCUCGUCUUCAUGCUCUACUCUACUCUCUUCUGAGUCUCUCUUCUUUCAAUCCAUAUACUCAGAAACCUGCUUUGCCCUUCGUCUUGAAAUUACUACAAGCUAUCUUGACCUCAUAGCUUCAAUAUCCUUCAAUCAUCAGGUUCACCUUCUUCUCUCCUUACAUUUAAAUGUGGGAUUGCAAUCUUACUUCCCUUCCUUCAUACUGCCCACAUCUCUGAAAAUUAUUUUCCAGUUACUGUACAUGCACCCAGUAAGUCUUUCUGUUUUCUGAGCUUUGCUUUCUUUUUUCUGAUUUCUACUUUCUGUUUUCUGAGUU
rnacentral:lncRNA from 1 species